rnacentral:rRNA from 1 species
GACAUCCCGGAGACCCUUAGGAACUAGGGGUGCUUCCAUCUGGAAGAAUCUGGAGACAGGUGCUGCAUGGCUGUCGUCAGCUCGUGUCGUGAGAUGUUGGGUUAAGUCCCGCAACGAGCGCAACCCUUGCCUUUAGUUGCCAGCAGUUCGGCUGGGCACUCUAAGGGGACUGCCGGGUGUUAAACCGGAGGAAGGUGGGGAUGACGUCAAGUCCUCAUGGCCUUUAUGACCAGGGCUACACACGUACUACAAUGGCCGAUACAAAGGGCAGCGACACUGCGAGGUGAAGGCCAAUCCCGUAAAAUCGGUCUCAGUCCGGAUUGGAGUCUGCAACUCGACUCCAUGAAGUUGGAAUCGCUAGUAAUCGUGGAUCAGCAUGCCACGGUGAAUACGUUCCCGGGCCUU